CAACGCAUGCGUCAUUUAAAAAUGGACUCUAGCAGCAGUGCGAGCACGCCGGACAGCGUGCGGGAAAUAAAUUUCUCGGAGUUGAUGGGUUUGCUUAUAGGACCGAACAAGCGAGUUAAGGAGAACGUUGUGUUUCCCCCAGGACUAUUUCCACACAGAAUCAAAACGAGGGAUGAACUGCGCGUGGAAGCCGUCUUUGAAAGCUGCGCCUUCAAGACCGGCAUCAGCUGUGUUCUCGGUGGCGCAUUCGGAGCAGCGCUUGGACUUUUCUCUGCGAGCGUGGAUCCAAAUGUCACCGGCGGUGGUGUGGACCCUUCGAAGAUGACAGUGCGGCAGGUUUUCACCGACAUGAAGUCGAAAUCCGUGUCUUACGCUAAGAACUUUGCCAUUGUCGGUGCCAUGUUCGCAGCCAUCGAGUGCACCAUCGAGUCGCAUCGUGCAAAGACAGACUGGAAAAAUGGCACCAUGGCUGGUGCACUAACUGGAGGACUAAUAGGAUUUCGAGGAAGGUUAUCAGCUGACUGGGUGCCCAUUGACUCUACAUUGCGAUGCCAUCUCCGGCUUUGUGUACCGGCUCACGUCUGGUCACCAGAGCUAGGCAGCAUGAGGAUUGGGUCAAUCCAGAGAUAGACCAUGAUGGCUUUCUUUUCUCUGCAAGAGAUUCAAGUUGUCCAUGAAGGAAAUACUCCACGUCCAUGCUGGUCUAAAGCCUGGUCUCCUGGGUGCUGCAGGCUUUGCGGCGUUUUCAACACUGAUUGACUACUACCUGCGAUGACACC
rnacentral:misc_RNA from 1 species